CUGUCGUCAGCUCGUGUCGUGAGAUGUUGGGUUAAGUCCCGCAACGAGCGCAACCCUUGUUUCCUGUUGCCAUCGGGUAAUGCCGGGCACUCUGGAGAGACUGCCGGUGACAAACCGGAGGAAGGUGGGGAUGACGUCAAGUCAGCAUGGCCUUUAUGUCUGGGGCUACACACGUGCUACAAUGGCCGGUACAAAGCGUCGCAAACUCGCGAGAGUGAGCUAAUCGCAGAAAGCCGGUCUCAGUUCGGAUUGCAGGCUGCAACUCGCUUGCAUGAAGUUGGAAUCGCUAGUAAUCGCGGAUCAGCACGCCGCGGUGAAUACGUUC
rnacentral:rRNA from 1 species